rnacentral:rRNA from 1 species
GUCCACGCCCUAAACGAUGACGACUAGUUGUUGGAGGAGUUAAAUCCUUCAGUAACGCAGCUAACGCGUGAAGUCGUCAGCCUGGGGAGUACGGUCGCAAGAUUAAAACUCAAAGGAAUUGACGGGGGCCCCGCACAAGCGGUGGAUGAUGUGGUUUAAUUCGACGCAACGCGAAAACCUUACCUACCCUUGACAUGUGAGGAACCCUGCAGAGAUGCAGGGGUGCCCGAAAGGGAACCUCAACACAGGUGCUGCAUGGCUGUCGU